CCUACGGGCGGCAGCAGUGGGGGAUAUUGCACAAUGGGGGAAACCCUGAUGCAGCGACGCCGCGUGUGGGAAGACGGUCCUCUGGAUUGUAAACCACUGUCCCCAGGGGCGAAGAUGACGGUACCUGGGGAGGAAGCUCCGGCUAACUACGUACCAGCAGCCGCGGUAAUACGUAGGGAGCAAGCGUUGUCCGGAAUUACUGGGUGUAAAGGGAGCGUAGUCGGGAUGGCAAGUUGGGUGUUAAAUCUACCGGCUCAACUGGUAGUCGCACUCAAAACUGGUAUUCUUGAGUGAAGUAGAGGCAGGCGGAAUUCCUAGUGGAGCGGUGAAAUGCGUAGAUAUUAGGAGGAACACCAGUGGCGAAGGCGGCCUGCUGGGCUUUGACUGACGCUGAGGCUCGAAAGUGUGGGGAGCAAACAGGAUUAGAUACCCGAGUAGUC
rnacentral:rRNA from 1 species